AAGAAAAGAACAGCAAGUGUAAGUAACUUGUUUUAAGGUCACACAACCAGUAAAUGGCAGGUGCGAGAUCCAAACACAGGUCACGUGGCUCCAGAGCGUGCUUCUCUGUGUCACACCAUGCCGUCUCCUAAAGGUGCUUAGCAUGACAAACGCAAAAUCGUUGGGCUGCUUUACAAAAUCUUUGCAGAUUUGUUCAUGUUACAGUUUCAGGAGGCUUCUUUCUGGAUUUCCAAAGAAGCUGCUGACUGGAGGAGUUUCUCAGAGAAGAAUGACUGGAAACACAGGCUACCAUCAUCCUGUACAAAAAAAGAAAUAAAGCAACUCAGAAUUUCAGCGGGCUGCCUUCUUACAAAUAAAUCAAGUCGAAACCAUGGCUUCACAGGCUCCCUGCUCUCUCUGCCACCCACCUCCCAAUUUAGAGACUUCAUAUGGGUGACUGUGAUAUCACCAACACCUACUGUCUAACUUACCAGAGCAUUAUGGAAUAUGAAACCUAAUAAAUGCAUCUUAACGGACAGUGUUCCUUUCAAACAUGUGAACUCUUCAACAGAAAUGCAACAAACCAGGUAUCUGUGAUUUCUGUUCAAUCAUUGUUGGCCAUUAUACACAGGUUUUGUUGUCUGGGAGCAGAGAAGGGGCUUUUGUUCCCCUUGGACAUAUUAUUGUCAAUGCACUAACAAUUAUGUACAUUCAAACUUGAUUAUUUGAAAUUUGAUCUUCAGCCAUACUAUAAAUAAGGUACUGCACUAUAGUCUCCGUAAAUGUUUAUUACUCUUCUGUGAUAUUUACGAGUUGCUUAAAAGUAUACAAAAUUAUGAAACAACUAAUUUUUCCUUACUCUCCCUUUGAAAGGAAGGGGCUUAAUUUGUUCCCACAAGGACUAGAACCAUGAUAAACAAUGUACCAGUAAUUUGUAACGUAAGUAUUGCAGUAUGUUAGCAAAAAUCUUGCAGACUUGUUUUCCAAAGUAUAUUUUACUUUGAUCAGUUCAGUAUAUUGCACUGUUUUAGGUAUUUUCCUUAUAGUAUGAAAUCUACCAUGUGUCAGAGAUGAUUUAAUCUAUUUAAGUGUUGAACUGGUAGCACAACUUGUACAUUUAUAGUAAUUCAGAAUUAGUAAGGAAAACCAUUCACCAGUGUUUAGUUUUAUAUUGAAGACAGCUCAUGUUGUCCCUAAAUUCCUAAUUAUAAAUUAAACUCAAGGCAGGGGCUGAAAAUAUCAUUUUUGGUUUGUCUUCUGUUCUAGUAUAGAACUCUGUACCAAACAGAAUAAAUAAAGGCCAGCUUGAUGGAGGAGACCCUUGGAAAAUUCUGUACUCCAUAGGAGGAAAUGUCCAUUUGUCUCAAACAUCCUUCCUUCACUUGGAAAAUAUGAGUUUGCUAAACUUUCACUGUUGCAUUCUUUCUUCUUUUUUAAAGUUUAUGUAUUUAUUUUGAGAGAGAGAGAGAAAAGGAGAGAGACAGAAAAGGAGAGAGAGAGAAAGAAUGAAUGAAUGAAUGAAUGAGCAGGGGAGGGACAGAGAGGGUGAGACAAUUCCAAGCCAGGCUCCACACUGUGAGCAUAGAACCUGAUGUGAGGUUCAAGCCCAGGGACAAUGAGAUCAUGACCUGAGCUGAAAUCAAGAGUUGGAUGCUUAACUGACUGAGCCACCCAGGCCCCCCUUACUGCUUCACUCUUAAAACUUAUGUAUGUUCAAACUUACAACAACCAAAAUGAAAACCGAAAAAUUUCUAUGAAACUGUUUAUUUUCUCUCAGAAAUAAUGCAAAUAUUCCUUGGUAAAUUAAAUUCAUAUCAUCUUGCUAUAAUAAUACAGAAACGUGCCUCUCCAUGCCUCAAAUUAGGAAAGGAAAAUUGUAGCAAUCAAGUCUAUAGGUGAAACUAUUUUACCAGUCUUGCUAAGAAGGUGAUCUCAACCUCUCAGACUUUGGAAACAAAUGGGAGGAAAUCCCAACGGAAAAAGCACUGAGAAACUAGUGCAAGUAGUACCUUAUAAUUCUUUAAUGUUAUCUUAAGUAAACAUACACACACACACAUACACCUUUCUAAAUAUUUUUCUAGUUUUUAUUUAUUUUUGAGAGAGAGUGAGUGUGUGAGCAGGGGAGGGGCAGAGAGAGAGAGAGAGAGAGACAGAAUCCGAAGCAGGCUCCAGGCUCUGAGCUGUCAGCACAGAGCCCGACAUGGGACUCGAACUCAAGAGCCGUGAGAUCAUGACCUGAGCCAAAGUCGGGUGCUUACCUGACUGAGCCACCCAGGCGCCCCCACACACAUACAUAUCUUAAGUAAAUAUAAAUAAAUACACACGCAUGUAUUUUAAUUAAAUACACACAUGCAUACACAAACACAGAGAACAUUUAUAGGAAAAACAGUGCUUUAGUACUCUUAAUGUUAAUCUUGCUGCUUUGUUAAAGAAGCAAUUAACAAGGCCUGGCAAUGGUAAGACAGACUCGUCUCAUCUUUGCAAAGAUGCUUAAAACAGGGCUAAAUUAUUUUCAAUAAAUGUUUUCAAACUAUUUCAGUUUUAUCUACAGGAGCAUAGGAACAUUUGAAAAACACAGAUAUAGCAACAUUUCACAGGAGGGAUUUAGAAAAAUAUUGCGUUCUCAUUUUUUUAAUUUGCCAAAUAUUUUAAUUUUUUAAUUAUUUAAUAACUUCCAUACCUCUGAAGCAACUAUCUGAACACAAGGAAUUUCAAACAGAAAACAAUUCUGUCUUAAGAAAUAACUUCAAAAGUCCAACAGUGAGGAUUCAAAAACUCAGAAGAAAAUUAACAUAACCUCUAACUUAUAUACUAUUUGUAAUGAAAAUGACCUAUGUCUACUAACCAAAGCACAGCAUUUAGGAGAAAAAAAAAAAAUAAAGAUGGUGGGGAUAAAUUCAAGUACUCUUUCAGGUAAAACAAUUUUCAUGAAAUACAGCACAUACAUUCAAGACACAUUUGUUACGUGUCUUGAGUCUUAUCAGUGUUUAAGAAUUGAUCCUAGGAAUAGCUUACCAAGGAAGGAGGAACUGCUUCGAUUCAUGGAGGAAACUGACUUCUUGGUCUCCUUUCGUCUAUAAACCACUUAAAUGAAGGUGUCACCUGAGACUUAUACCAGCGAUGUCUAAAACUGUCACCCUGGGGAAUACGGUACAACAUCUUCGCACUAGUAAACUCUGCAAAGAAAAUCCCCCUUUACUUUGAAGUCUUCUAUUAAGUGGUAGAUACACACCCAUCACAUCAUGUUUAAUGCUACCAGGGCAUUCAAGGUGAAGGGACUUUGAGGUUUAAGAGAAUUUACUAAAGGAUAACAGAAACUCAUUGUACCUUUAAUUCAAAGCAUGUACCUUUUAAUUCAAGUCUAGAUAAACCAAGCAUGGUCUAAAUUAUUUUAGCUAAAACUAGUUAAGCAGAUAACUGAUUAAAUAGGUAACUUUUAGUUUUAAAAGUCUUAAAAUUUUUAACAUUUAAAAAUUAAUUUGAAACCUACUCCUUUAAGUUUUGACAAAACAACAUUUUAUAUUCUCUCACAAAGCACUACAACUGAAAGAUGGUUUUAUAAAACUAAAAGUAUGCAAAAUCGCUUUUUAUGACCAAAGAAUGAAAGGGUAGCUACAGGAUGAACUACAGUUAACUCAUCAAGCUUCGAUAACAACUGCAAAUGUUCUCUAGAGGGAACAGAGUAUAUGUGAGAUGAGCUAUAAUUUAGUCUCUAGGCUCCCUGGGCACUGUUCUUAUUCGAAAGUAGAAGAAGAAAGGGGAGACAAUAACCUAAUAAAUAUACAUAUUUCUCUUUCUUGACAAACAACUGAAUUACAUAAAAUAUGUCAAAGAAGUCAGCAUAAAACAAAUACCAUCCUAUUUAAGAAACUGUAAUCAUUCUAAAGUUCAAACUAUUUUUAAGGAAACUGGUAUACUUAAGGUAAAAAUCUGGCAUGUAAAUAAGUUCUGGAAUAAUCUCUUUACCAUAAUUUAAACAUAUAACAAAUAAAAGACUAUCCUGAUAUGUGUGGGCUUUAGUGAGAAGAAUCAGUGGCCCUAGUUUCUUCAAAAAAAAAGAAAAGAAAAUCCUAAAUCAAUGGAAGGAAACCGCACCACAAACAAAAACAAAAACAAAAACAAAAACUAACAA